rnacentral:lncRNA from 1 species
GGUAUUACGAGUGAUUUUAGAAAAUAGAAAUAAUGAACACAUAUCACUUUGAUAUGGAGAAAAAUUAAAAUAGAAUUGUUAUAUCAGGUACUAAAUUUGUUACCACAUCAGACUAAGCACCUGCCUCUCCAAUUCCAAGUCAUAGAUUAACAGAUUCACAGAUAUUCCCAUUCACAAGGCAGAAACUAGUUUAAUUAUUCAUAGACAAUUGAUGUUAUCAAAUAGA